GAUGAACGCUGGCGGCGUGCCUAAUACAUGCAAGUCGAGCGAACGGACGAGAAGCUUGCUUUUCUGAUGUUAGCGGCGGACGGGUGAGUAACACGUGGAUAACCUACCUAUAAGACUGGGAUAACUUCGGGAAACCGGAGCUAAUACCGGAUAAUAUUUUGAACCGCAUGGUUCAAAAGUGAAAGACGGUCUUGCUGUCACUUAUAGAUGGAUCCGCGCUGCAUUAGCUAGUUGGUAAGGUAACGGCUUACCAAGGCAACGAUGCAUAGCCGACCUGAGAGGGUGAUCGGCCACACUGGAACUGAAGCACGGUCCAGGCUCCUAAGGGAGGCAGCAGUAGGGAAACUUCCGCAAUGGGCGGAAGCCUGACGGAGCAAAGCCGCGUGGGUGAAGAAGGUCUUCGGAUCGUAAAACUCUGUUUUUAGGGAAGAACAUAUGUGGAAGGAAAUGUGCACAUCUUGACGGUACCUAAUCAGAAAGCCACGGCUAACUACGUG
rnacentral:rRNA from 1 species